CGCUGGCGGCAGGCCUAACACAUGCAAGGUCGAGCGCCCGCAAGGGGAGCGGCGGACGGGUGAGUAACGCGUGGGAACGUGCCCUCUUCUACGGAAUAGCCUCGGGAAACUGGGAGUAAUACCGUAUACGCCCUUAGGGGGAAAGAUUUAUCGGAGGAGGAUCGGCCCGCGUUGGAUUAGGUAGUUGGUGGGGUAAUGGCCUACCAAGCCGACGAUCCAUAGCUGGUUUGAGAGGAUGAUCAGCCACACUGGGACUGAGACACGGCCCAGACUCCUACGAGAGGCAGCAGUGGGGAAUCUUAGACAAUGGGCGCAAGCCUGAUCUAGCCAUGCCGCGUGAGCGAUGAAGGCCUUAGGGUUGUAAAGCUCUUUCAGGGGGGAAGAUAAUGACUGUACCCCCAGAAGAAGCCCCGGCUAACUCCGUG
rnacentral:rRNA from 1 species